AUUGAACGCUGGCGGCAGGCCUAACACAUGCAAGUCGAGCGGCAGCGGAAAGUAGCUUGCUACUUUGCCGGCGAGCGGCGGACGGGUGAGUAAUGUCUGGGAAACUGCCUGAUGGAGGGGGAUAACUACUGGAAACGGUAGCUAAUACCGCAUAACGUCGCAAGACCAAAGAGGGGGACCUUCGGGCCUCUUGCCAUCAGAUGUGCCCAGAUGGGAUUAGCUAGUAGGUGGGGUAACGGCUCACCUAGGCGACGAUCCCUAGCUGGUCUGAGAGGAUGACCAGCCACACUGGAACUGAGACACGGUCCAGACUCCUACGGGAGGCAGCAGUGGGGAAUAUUGCACAAUGGGCGCAAGCCUGAUGCAGCCAUGCCGCGUGUAUGAAGAAGGCCUUCGGGUUGUAAAGUACUUUCAGCGGGGAGGAAGGCGAUAAGGUUAAUAACCUUGUCGAUUGACGUUACCCGCAGAAGAAGCACCGGCUAACUCCGUGCCAGCAGCCGCGGUAAUACGGAGGGUGCAAGCGUUAAUCGGAAUUACUGGGCGUAAAGCGCACGCAGGCGGUCUGUCAAGUCGGAUGUGAAAUCCCCGGGCUCAACCUGGGAACUGCAUUCGAAACUGGCAGGCUAGAGUCUUGUAGAGGGGGGUAGAAUUCCAGGUGUAGCGGUGAAAUGCGUAGAGAUCUGGAGGAAUACCGGUGGCGAAGGCGGCCCCCUGGACAAAGACUGACGCUCAGGUGCGAAAGCGUGGGGAGCAAACAGGAUUAGAUACCCUGGUAGUCCACGCCGUAAACGAUGUCNACUUGGAGGUUGUGCCCUUGAGGCGUGGCUUCCGGAGCUAACGCGUUAAGUCGACCGCCUGGGGAGUACGGCCGCAAGGUUAAAACUCAAAUGAAUUGACGGGGGCCCGCACAAGCGGUGGAGCAUGUGGUUUAAUUCGAUGCAACGCGAANAACCUUACCUACUCUUGACAUCCAGAGAACUUUCCAGAGAUGGAUUGGUGCCUUCGGGAACUCUGAGACAGGUGCUGCAUGGCUGUCGUCAGCUCGUGUUGUGAAAUGUUGGGUUAAGUCCCGCAACGAGCGCAACCCUUAUCCUUUGUUG
rnacentral:rRNA from 1 species